GUGGGAGUACAGAUUGCUCUAAUAAUGCUCCCUUGCUGCUAUCUUUCCCCAGUUCUGUUUAAACAUACACACACACACACACACACACACACACAGAAGGCAGAUCUCCAAUCUUGUUGCCCAAGGGGAAGUUUGAGGCAGUCUCUAUUUUUUGCAGAUGACCCCAAAUUCCAAAGAAUUUUCUUCACUUGACUUGCGGUGGUGACUGAAAGGAUCAAAUCAGCCUCUUUUCCCUUUUGCUCCUCAGGCAAGAGAUGGCAAUAGCUCCCUGCCAACUGUGGCUAGCUCCCUAAAUUCAAAAUCAUCACCUGUUGGCUUAUCUUCGCCCUGUCCACAGCCUGUGCAUUGUUCUUUUAAACUCCCAUCAAUAGCCUGUUACAAUGUGCCAGGUGUUUCCUGUCAUAACUGAGUGAAAUGAAUUAUAAACAUAAUAUCUACAACUCCAUACUAUAAAUAUUUUAAGGUGAAAGUGUGAUUUAAACACAGUUGUCUUAAGAAGAAUGCAUAUCCAAAUACUGCUAGAGAGAGAAAAUCUUUGGAAUAAGAUAACUUGAAUUAAAAUAUCAGCUCUGACAUGCAUAAACUCAUCUGUAGAGUGAACAUAUACAUGCUGAAUUCAUGGAGUUGACAUGUGAUUCAAUGAAAUAUAGGUAUCACCUAAACAAAUAUUAGGUUAAACCAUAUGAAACUGCCAAUAAAUGAUCAUUUAUUUGGCUACAAUAAUUUUAAUUUUGUGUAGCUCAGGCUAAUAAUGUUAUGGCAAACCAACCAAAAUAAAGUUGUUUUAUCUAUAUUAAUGUCAGACAAAACACAAUGAAAACCAGAAAGGAUCAAUAGAGAUAAACAGAGUCCAUUAAUAAUGAUCAAAUUUUCAUUUCACUGGCAAUAUAUCACAAUUUAAAAUUUGUUGGCAACUAAAUAUGGUGGCUUCAAAAUAUAGAAAAUGAAUAAUGAACAAAAAUACAAAAAUAUAUGGACAAAUCCAUAAUCAUAAUAGGGUAUUUUAGUAUGAAUUUCUCAGUGAUUAAAUAAUCAAAGAAAAAAAAUCACUAAAGAAAUCUAUUUAAAUCUAUCAUUUUACACUCGUACCAGAAAUCUGUGAGGCUUUCAAUUUUUCUACCUCUUCCACACAUCUUUCCCAACACUUAUUUUAUUUCCUUUUUAUGGUUGUUGUACUCAUCCUAAUGCAUGCAAAGUGGUGUCUCAUUGUGGUUUUGAUUUGUAUUUCCCUGAUGACUAAUUAGGUUGAACAUCUUUUCAUGUGCUUUUUUUGUCCUUGUGUUCUUUUGGAUAAGUAUCUCACGUAUUUCCCUCAUUUUAAAUUGAGUUGUCUUUUUAUUGUUGAGUUGUGAAAUUUAUUGAUGGAGUUGGAACACUAGAUGUAUUAUUAGAUACAUUAUUUGAAAAUACUGUCUUCUAUUUGAUAGGUUGUCUUUUUACUUUCUGGACAAUAUCCUUUGAUGAACAGAAGUUUUAAUUUUGAUGAAGCUAACUUAUCUUUUUUAUCUUUUAUUGCUUGUGCUUUUGGUGUCAUAUUUAAAAACACAUUGUCAAAUCAAAGGUCAUAAGGAUUUAUCUAAUAUUUUCUUCUAAG
rnacentral:lncRNA from 1 species